rnacentral:rRNA from 1 species
UCACGUCUUCUCGCGGGUUCAACGCAUCCGCUCCUCUCCGACGGCCCUGCUCCCGUCCGGACUCGUCCGGCGCGUGGCAGUGGGGUUGCAGAGGGUGGUGUGGAGGCCUGCGGCGGACCGCACUUCUCCCUUAGUAGGACGUCGUGACCCGUCCGGUCAUGGUCAUAAGGUCGCAGGGUGGAGCCUGCCCGUUCGUGCUUGCACGUUUUCCGGGCAGACCCCCGCGUCCCGGCCAUGAUAUCCCCGGUCGGUAACGAAUGACAGUGUUCGGCCGCUCACCGGCGGAGGGAACUCCUGCCAGAGAGCGCGAUCAUGCCAGCCUCAGACAAGGUGCCGGGUUUGUCAGUCAAGGCGGGCUUCCGUCCGUCUGGCUGCUCUCGGCCCUGUUAGUCUGGGUGCCCUUUCGCUCGGCCUAUUUACACUCGUCUACGGCGAAUCAGUUUUGGGCUCUUGUCCGACCCGUCUUGAAACACGGACCAAGGAGUUCAGCGUGUACGCGAGUCAUUGGGUGGUAAAACCCAAAGGCGAAAUGAAAGUGAAGGGAACUUCACGUUUCUGAGGGAAGAUGAGUCGGUUACCCGCAAGGGGCUGCUCCGCACUCCCGGGGCGUCUCUUUCUCAUUGCGAGUGGAGGCGCACCCAGAGCGUACACGCUGAUACCCGAAAGAUGGUGAACUAUGCCUGGCCAGGACGAAGCCAGGGGAAACCCUGGUGGAGGUCCGCAGCGAUUCUGACGUGCAAAUCGAUCGUCGGAGCUGGGUAUAGGGGCGAAAGACCAAUCGAACCAUCUAGUAGCUGGUUCCCUCCGAAGUUUCCCUCAGGAUAGCUUGCGCUCACGUGAACGAGUCUCAUCCGGUAGAGCGAAUGAUUAGAGGCCUUGGGGUCGAAACGACCUCAACCUAUUCUCAAACUCCAAAUAGAUGAGAACUCCGGCUUUCUUGAACUUUGUUUUUGAAGCCGGGGGCUCGGAUCAGAGUGCCAAGUGGGCCAAUUUUGGUAAGCAGAACUGGCGCUGUGGGAUGAACCAAACGUCGAGUUAAGGCGCCUAAAUCGACGCUCAUGUGAAACCAUGAAAGGCGUUGGUUGCUUAAGACAGCAGGACGGUGGCCAUGGAAGUCGGAAUCCGCUAAGGAGUGUGUAACAACUCACCUGCCGAAGCAACUAGCCCUGAAAAUGGAUGGCGCUGUAGCGUCGUGCCUAUACUCGACCGUCAACGGCAAAGAUGGCUGGCGGGCAACCGUCGGCCGUUACGCCUUGACGAGUAGGAGGGCCGCGGCGAUGUGCGUAGAAGGGUCUGGGCGUGAGCCUGCCUGGAGCCGUCGUCGGUGCAGAUCUUGGUGGUAGUAGCAAAUACUCCAGCGAGGCCCUGGAGGACUGAUGUGGAGAAGGGUUUCUUGUGAACAGCUGUUGCACAAGAGUCAGUCGGUCCUAAGCCCUAGGAGAAAUCCGAAGCGAUGGGUUGCCGUGAAAACCACCAUUGUGUAAAGCUGGCACCCGUUUGGGCGAAAGGGAAUCCGGUUCCUAUUCCGGAACCUGGCAGUGGAACCGUUCCAAUUCGGGCCCUCUGAGGACUCGUCAGGGCAACCUGAAUAGACCCGGAGACGCCGACAGGAGAUUGGGGGAGAGUUGUCUCUUCUCUAUAAGCGAUCGAGUUCCCUGGAAACUUCUAGCAAGGAGAUAGGGUUUGGAUCGCGAAGAGCACUGCAGUUACGGCAGUGUCCCAAUCUUCCUCUCGGACCUUGAAAAUCCGGGUGAGGGCCACGAGGAACCCCACGCCAGACCGUACCCAUAUCCGC